rnacentral:rRNA from 1 species
CCUACGGGUGGCUGCAGUGGGGAAUAUUGGGCAAUGGGCGCAAGCCUGACCCAGCAACGCCGCGUGAAGGAAGAAGGCUGUCGGGUUGUAAACUUCUUUUGUCAGGGACGAAGCAAGUGACGGUACCUGACUAAUAAGCCACGGCUAACUACUUGACAGCAGCCGCGGUAAUACGUAGGUGGCAAGCGUUAUCCGGAUUUACUGGGUGUAAAGGGCGUGUAGGCGGGACUGCAAGUCAGAUGUGAAAACCACGGGCUCAACCUGUGGCCUGCAUUUGAAACUGUAGUUCGUGAGUACUGGAGAGGCAGACGGAAUUCCUAGUGUAGCGGUGAAAUGCGUAGAUAUUAGGAGGAACACCAGUGGCGAAGGCGGUCUGCUGGACAGCAACUGACGCUGAGGCGCGAAAGCGUGGGGAGCAAACAGGAUUAGAUACCCGUGUAGUC